GAUUUCUCGCAGCCGGAGCCCUUCUCCAAUAAGAUGCGUAUUGCCCAGGUUUUAAAACCAUCAGCCGUGUUCCUUUGCCACAGUACAUCUGCAACAGUCAGCUUCCCCAGUGCCUCCAUCCGCCUGCUGUGUCUGCCUCCGACCUCAUUUAAGAUAAUGUGAAAGGCAAUUCUGUGUAUCACUCCACACAGAGAGUUAAAUGUUUUGGCUUAGCAUGUUUGUAACUUCAGAUAUAUUGCAUUUUAUUUUAUUUUAUAGGUACAAAUUCCAUUAAUUUGAUAAAAAACAAUUGCAUAGGUGUUUAGGAUCAUAUUCAUUCGAAGCAGAGUCUAUUACACAGGUUCAGGAUUUUCAUCCUGAAAUACCAGGCCUUUUAUGGCAACUAUGUGAACAAAAGUGGAAAAUCUUUACCAUGCUGAGUCCAAAAGACAAGAUGAGUCAUUUUAGCUUAUAAGUUGAUCACGAAUAUUAUAAUGGCUGGUAUUAGCUUUAACAUGAAAACAAUAUUGUUGUUUUAAUCUUCCUUUAAGGUUUGGAAGACAGCCCUAAUCUCAGGUUGGUGGACUCGUAGCUGUAGCUGUGACUUCAGGCUAAAUGUAGAUGAUGAUUUAAGAGAAUACAGUUUGUUGGCUUGCUUCUCUUUUCCUACUUUGAGAGUGCCCUGUAUGACUUAGUUGAGUACUAUCUGUUGAAGCCACUGACUUGAGAGAAUUUUCUUGCUUCAUAAAUGUGGAGCAGUGAUGUGGCUAGAAGCCAGCUUUGAGAUAAAUGCUAAUUACCUUGUGUUUAUCUUCUGGGAAGGUCUCAUACUGUUUUAAUGUUUUAAUAAAAGCCACUGGGACAUGCCCUUUAUCCAUUCCACCUAGUAGUUCACGACUUCAGACCUCCUAUGAACUCCAUCUGACUAGAAUACCUAAACUCAAGCCCUAGAACUGGGGCACCAUUUAUUGAUUUAAAUUGAGUGUAUAUCCCUUAGUUUCUUCAGCCUAAAGUACUGUUGAAAGUUCAAGAUAAUAAUGGAAUAUGGCUUUCUCAAGAUAAUGGUCUUUCUGCUUUUUUUUCACUUUAAAGCCGACCUUAAACAGAUGCCUUACGAGUGCCUUCUUUCGCCGUGUGCCUUUUAGAGACAAGCUCUGAAUUGGCCAGAGCUCAGUUUGCAUAAGCUCAGUACAAAAACCAGCGUGUGAGGCUUUUAAGGUGAAAAAAAUCCCAACUUCUCUAAAGCAUCUUGUCCCUUGUGCUGGGAGGGAGAGACGACGGACAGACCACCUCAGUCCCUGCCCCUUGGGUCUAAUGGUCAUCAGCUCAUUCUGAAAGGUGCGAUUCAUUCUCCUCCCUCUGUGCAUUUCUGUGGGCAUCACUUGGAGGCAACGCAGUGUGCUCUAAGGAGAACUCCGUGUCCAGUUUGGUCCUCACCUUGCUUUGUGGUCUUGAGCACGUUACUUCACCUCUCUGAACCUUAGUUUCGUUGUAGAGUAAGAAGGCUGGAUGAGAUUAUGGUUUUCUCAACCCUCCAAGACUCAGUGUCCCCUUUUAUAAAAAAUAUUUUUUUCUGGUUAUUCUGAAAGGAAAUUCAAAGUUAACAUGAUCUGCAUUGUGUAUAUACUUUUAAACAAUGAAUAUAGUACUCUGCCUGUAAUAUAAAGCAGAAAAAAAAGAAAGCAGUUUUUAAUAAAAUAAAAUGUAUUUCAGUAAAAAGCUUGGGUGUAACCAUCCUAGAAGAUAAAAUCAAGUUAUCAGAUGCUUGCACCUGUGUGUGGAACACCCUAUCUGCUACAAAUGCAGAUCAUUACAUUGGCAACAUCGCUAACAGUGUUGUCAUUGGAUAUGAUUUUCUGAAAUGGUGGACAACUCCUGGUAGUUUUGAACAAAAAUCUUACAGUUGUGUCUUGAUUAUCACAGUAAAUGCAUUCCUAGAAAAAUCAGUGUACACUCAAACCAUGUAACAAUUCCUUUGUGUUAUAUGUUAAACGUCUUUUCUAAAAUCUCACUAAGUAAUGAGAAUGCCUAAAUAUCAGAAUUUUUGUUGUAUGUAUGAAUGUAUGCCCUGAUUUGGAAAAAGGUCACAUGUAGCUCAGUUUAUUUGAUUUCUACCCUGUCUGGCCAAUUGCCAUUUCUCAAGUUUCUGAUUUGAACUUCAACCACACAGGGAAUGGUGAAUAGUCUAGAAUAAUUUUUGGAAAGGAUUCACAAAACAAAGGAGAGUGACCUAUACUCAUUUAUCUGGGCAUAUACCUUAACCUUAGUAACUUUGAAAAAUGAAAACUUUUGUACCUAAGUGUCAAUUUCUGUAUUAUCGGUUUAACAUCUACAAGUAAAAUCAAGAAAAAG